UUUUGAGACUGUCCCUACAAAAGUGG
rnacentral:piRNA from 1 species